rnacentral:rRNA from 1 species
UAGUCCCAACCGUAAACGUUGUGUACUUGGUGUGGGGGGAAUUGACCCCCUCCGUGCCGGAGCUAACGCGUUAAGUACACCGCCUGGGGGAGUACGGCCGCAAGGCUAAAACUUCAAAGAAAUUGACGGGGGGCCCGCACAAGCCGGAGGAGCAUGUGGCUUAAUUCGAUGCAACGCGAAGAACCUUACCAGGGCUUGACAUGUAACUGCACGCCCGCCGAAAGGUGGGAAGCUUUCGAAGGUGUUACACAGGUGCUGCAUGGCUGUCGUCAGUUCGUGCCCGUGAGGUGUUGGGUUAAGUCCCGCAACGAACGCAACCCUUGUGUUUAGUUGCCACCGCAGGUGGAUGAGCCUGCGAGCACUCUAGACAGACUGCCCGUACAAGCGGGAGGAAGGUGGGGACGACGUCAAGUCAGUAUGGCCCUUACGGCCCUGGGCUGCACACGUGCUACAAUGGUCGGUACUAAAGGGACGCAAUACCGUGAGGUGGAGCAAAUCCCCAAAACCGGCCUCAGUUCGGAUUGGAGUCUGCAACUCGACUCCA